rnacentral:rRNA from 1 species
AGAUACCCUGGUAGUCCACGCCGUAAACGAUGAGUGCUAAGUGUUGGAGGGUUUCCCCCUCCAGUGCUGCAGUUAACGCAUUAAGCACUCCGCCUGGGGAGUACGGCCGCAAGGCUGAAACUCAAAGGAAUUGACGGGGGCCCGCACAAGCGGUGGAGCAUGUGGUUUAAUUCGAAGCAACGCGAAGAACCUUACCAGGUCUUGACAUCCUUUGACCACUCUAGAGAUAGAGCUUUCCCUUCGGGGACAAAGUGACAGGUGGUGCAUGGUUGUCGUCAGCUCGUGUCGUGAGAUGUUGGGUUAAGUCCCGCAACGAGCGCAACCCUUAUUGUUAGUUGCCAUCAUUCAGUUGGGCACUCUAGCGAGACUGCCGGUGACAAACCGGAGGAAGGUGGGGAUGACGUCAAAUCAUCAUGCCCCUUAUGACCUGGGCUACACACGUGCUACAAUGGACGGUACAAUGAGUCGCGAGACCGCGAGGUUUAGCUAAUCUCUUAAAGCCGUUCUCAGUUCGGAUUGUAGGCUGCAACUCGCCUACAUGAAGCCGGAAUCGCUAGUAAUCGUGGAUCAGCACGCCACGGUGAAUACGUUCCCGGGCCUUGUACACACCGCCCGUCACACCACGAGAGUUUGUAACACCCAAAGUCGGUGAGGUAACCUUUUGGAGCCAGCCGCCUAAGGUGGGAUAGAUGAUUGGGGUGAAGUCGUAACAAGGUAACCA